rnacentral:rRNA from 1 species
UACGUAGGGGGCGAGCGUUGUCCGGAUUCAUUGGGCGUAAAGAGCUCGUAGGCGGCUUGGUAAGUCGGGUGUGAAACCUCCAGGCUCAACCUGGAGACGCCACUCGAUACUGCCAUGGCUAGAGUCCGGUAGGGGCCCACGGAAUUCCUGGUGUAGCGGUGGAAUGCGCAGAUAUCAGGAGGAACACCGGUGGCGAAGGCGGGUCUCUGGGCAGUAACUGACGCUGAGGAGCGAAAGCCAGGGGAGCAAACGGG